AACGAACGCUGGCGGCAUGCCUAACACAUGCAAGUCGAACGAGACCUUCGGGUCUAGUGGCGCACGGGUGCGUAACGCGUGGGAAUCUGCCCUUGGGUUCGGAAUAACAGUUGGAAACGACUGCUAAUACCGGAUGAUGACGUAAGUCCAAAGAUUUAUCGCCAAAGGAUGAGCCCGCGUAGGAUUAGCUAGUUGGUGAGGUAAAGGCUCACCAAGGCGACGAUCCUUAGCUGGUCUGAGAGGAUGAUCAGCCACACUGGGACUGAGACACGGCCCAGACUCCUACGGGAGGCAGCAGUGGGGAAUAUUGGACAAUGGGCGAAAGCCUGAUCCAGCAAUGCCGCGUGAGUGAUGAAGGCCUUAGGGUUGUAAAGCUCUUUUACCCGGGAUGAUAAUGACAGUACCGGGAGAAUAAGCUCCGGCUAACUCCGUG
rnacentral:rRNA from 1 species